ensembl:lncRNA
AGAUUACCAUGAGCUCAUUAAAGUGCACGAACCCUCUGUUGGGCUUUUUACUGCAUGAAAACAAUUGAUUACUUAAAAAACGGUCCCACCCUUUCCUAAAAGCACACGAGUGUGUAUAUAGGCUGCUACCAACAGCUCACAUACACCCUGAAUAGGAAGCACAUCUCUCUGACGGACACAAUCUUUUUUUUGAAGGAGGAUAUCGCUUGCUGGACUUACAGAAGUGCAACAAGAUCGGUCAUUGUUAUCUGUGGAGAAACAUGGGAAACGAGAACUCCAAGAACAAAGAACUGCAGAACAGGAACGGCAGGAUUCCUGAGAAGCAUAUAAAUGGAUCAGCGAACGGCCUCUCUGCGAACCUCUCAUCUAACGGCUUGGAGAUUUCUGCUAACGGUGAGGCCGCAGUCCAGAAGAAUGGCGAGUCCUCUUCUUUAAAGCGUGCGACUGAACCAAAUGAUUUUGUCGUUGUGGAAUUAGACGGUAAAGCUGCUGACGCUCCAGUUAUUUCUGAAAUCCUUGAAAUCGUCAUCCACAAGGAAGAGGUCAGGGAAAGUGAAGGAGAUCAAACGGAUGUUAGUCUCCCUGCCACCAAUCUACAGACGGUGAGUACACUUUUCCUUGUUUGAAGGGUGAAUUCCAUAUUUGUCUCGUUGGCAACAAAUUCUAUGAAAAGAUUAAAAAAGCAAGUGUUGUCUGAGUUGCUUGGAUGCCUUGUUUAUUUGGACUCUACACACGUUCUACUGACAAAUAAGAGUUUAUCCACGACUGGAAAAGAAAUCCAGUUGUUACUCCUUGAGCAGUGUUACACAAAAACUAAAUGGCGCAGCAUUUUCAGAAAAUUAUUUAGCUGUUUUUAAAAAAUUGAACUGCAUAUUUUUGAGCCAAGUAGAAAGCUUUCCAUUUUUGAUAAAAGAUCAGAGACACGAUUAGAAGGGAAAUCAGCUCCUAUUAAGUAAAGGGACUGCAUUGAAGGAUUUGUUCACACAGGUUAAGCUAGAAUAAAUCCAGUCCAAUAUUUGAAGGUUUUCCAAUUUACAGAAAAAUCUGCAUGUCAGACUACCUCACAUGAAUUUAACGUCUCAAUUAAGCCAAAAUACAAAUUAAAAAAAAGAAAAAAAUAACCUAAUUUCUUUACUUAAUUGUUCUCAGUCACAAGGUAAUGAAACACAGGGUUGUCAUAUGUGUCCCGUAAUCAAAAACACAGUUGUUUUUUUAAAAAUCUAAACGCAAAUGGUUUUUUAUGAUCAAGGAGUCAACCUCAAGUGGAGAAGAAGCAGCCGCAGCGAUGAUCGCUGUGCACCUAGACAGCGUAGAGUGUCCGCUUCGAAAAGCUGAAACAUCAACACAAACAGACGGGACAACUGAGGCAGAUAUCUCGACACAAACGUAUAAGAACGAGGAAGUCGCAACCACCGAUAACGAGGUUCCUGUUGAAGAAGCAGUCUCCAUGGAGACUGGAUCAACUGAAGAAGACCCUCUAAAUGUGUCGGCCCGCGUCAUUGUUCAGGAUGACGGGGAGUCCUCCGACAACCAGGCCGCUCGGACCAUCAAUGAGGGGGUGGUCAUGUAUGAAAAUAUGGUGUUCAGACUGGAACGGGCAGAACUUGAUGGAACUGAGUCAAACAUCACUGCAGAACCAGGUUUUAACCCAAAAGUAUCCGAGAUUGAAGAGGAAACAGUUGCAGAGGAAAAUAACAUUGGAGAAACAUCGGCAUCGGAGGUCUAUUACAGCUUUCCUAAAGUGGUGGCAGAUUGUGUUGAGGUGGUUUUUGCGGAUGCGCCUCAGUCCACCGGCUUUGCUGCUGUGGACUCGUCAGUGCUUGCAGACGGAGUAGCUACUGGAGACAAUGGCGAAGGAGCUGGACACACGUCAGUCGAUGCCGUGCAGACUGAAACCGCCAAACAUCAGUCCACUGAGGCCCGGAAAGCAAAUGCCGUUCGUUCCUCAGCCACCGCGCUGAUGGAGACAAUCUCUGAGGUUGUUUGCGAGGCACCUGAUCCCGCACCAGCAGACCACGAUGCGCCCGCAGAGCAUUCUUCUGCCCGUCUUGCAGUAGCACUUCUAGUUAAGGCAGAAUCUGCCCAUGAGGAGGUCACCGCUGAUGAUGCUGUUGCAACGGAGAUUGUACCAGAAACACCUCAACAAGCAAAACUGGACGACGAGCCCUCAGAGAAGUGCGAUAGUUGCCCUGAGCAUGACAUCAUCACUGCAGAGGCUCCCAAUAAGCCUGCCAUCAUUGAGGAGCUUCCCGUGGAACCAGAAAGAUAUGAAGAAGCAGAACCAAGUCCCGUACUUGCCAAAGACAGUGCUGAGGCAAUGUGGGAAGCGGCAAUCAAUGCCCUCUCUGAAGACUUCAGAGAAGAAUCUAGCAGCCUGCCUCGGGAGGCUGCAGCGGCCAAAGGCUUACCUCUGAUAGAGGAGGUGAUCACCGCGUCAACUUUUGCAGGCCUUCCAGGGGGCCAAGAAGCAAGCAUUGCUGUUGCAGAGGAGCUUUUUAAGAGGGUCACUGCAGAGGCUUUAUCAAAUGCAACUGAAACAGUAGCAGAAGACGCCACAAACACUGGUGAGGAGCCUGCAGAUGUGCCGCCGAUGGACGCCACGGGAGAGCCCGAGCUUUGCGUUUCGGUCCAAGAGAGACUCAGAGACGAGAACGUCGCCCCGGCAGAAGUACCAGCCAAUUCCAGGAGUUUGAGCCAUCUCGAGCGCCGACCAAAGUCCAGCGCGCAGAUCGUCGCCAUGGAGACAAUUGAAGACGGGGCUGUGAGACAGAUAAUGCAUGAAACAGAUACUUCUGCGGUGGAUGUCUCCCAGAUUACCACUUUGGAUGAGGCUAUGUCAGAGAGUUUCGACGCUGUCCUUGAGGCCAUUGUGGAAGAAAUCAUUAACGAGGACGUCUUCUCAGCUGACGGCCGCCUCGUGACUUCAGACGAGGUGUCACCAGAGGCCUUUGUAGAGGAAGACGCUGAAGAGGAUGCAGAGAAGGAAUCAAGUGUGAACUCAUCAGAUCCAACAGUGGACUCACAAAGUGUCACAAGAACAGACAUGGAAGCUUUAGCUGUUAGUUUGCAGUCGGCGUGUAAAUCAGUUGUUGAAGAAUCGACAAAUAGGCCUGGUAGUUUAAUGCUUCCUUCACUAGGAUACAGUAUCACGGUUACUGUUCAUGUGGCGCCAAAGCAGUAAAAUCCUUGUCUGAACUUUUUUGUUGAAAAUGAUUGGUCUGCCUCCAGGAUGUAAUGUGUUAAAUGAUUGAUGCGAAAGUAAUUACAACCCAAUUGUAAAAUUAUUUGUGUUUUAUCAUAACAAGCAAGUCCCUCUGUUUUUUUAUGCUUUAUUAACACUUGCUGAUUUUCCAAUAAAAUGAAAAAUGAAACCGUUCAUGAUUUUCUUCAUCAUCUGUUUGCAUUCCUUUGGUCGGUGUCAGGUGACAAAUAAUACCUACUUUCAAAAAAGUAGGGCCACUAAUGACUUUGAAAAACAAUGAAUUAGACAUUUGAACGUUAGCAGAUUCACUAAUGAUCUUUAAAUCAGAGUUGGUCAACGAUAACCCAGCAUCAAAACCCAGCAAAGGUAUUUGCGUUUCCUGACAUUCUUUUCUCCGGGCAAAACUCUCACACAUUGUUGAAUAUCAAUGAGUGAGGGGUGGGACACACGCAUUGAUAAAAGGCCGAUUGUUGACAGUGCCCCGAGUAGGCAGAGGCAUGGUUGGAAUUGUGUACUCCCAUCUCAAUGCUGCGAUUAAGACCCUCACUGCUUGCAUUAUAAGCCACGCUGCUCUAACGCAAUACUCAAAGGCUAAUUCUUUGUGAUGGUGUAUAGGAGACAGCUAAGCAAAAGCAAGGGUCAGAAUCAUUGACGGAGCCAGAGAGUGUGACUCUAGACUCUGACGAGGGAAACCAGGAGGACAAUAACCCAGAAGAGAAUCCAGUUAUGAACUUCUUCAAAUCUCUAACGACUUCCAAAAUAACCAAAAAGGAAACAGCUGCUCCUGUUGCCAUAAAAGACCAGGUGACGCAGAUGUUUAUGAAGGAUUGUGUGAUUUUAAAUGAUUCAUUCAUUAUGACAGUACCACCAGGGGAUUUCCCAGCAGAGUUCCCAGUUAUAAGUUUCAAUAACCAGUUUUAUAUCACAAAUGUUUUUGUUAACAAAGCCAGAUCAGUGAGCUCAGUAAUGUAAUGGUUGAUUAUGUGUUGAAAUCAUUUUUUGCCACAUGCCUUGUAUGAAUUUAUGUUUGAUUUCUCUGAUGCCCAAAAACAUUUAACCAGUAGCUUCUCCAAACUAUUUAUAGGACAUUACAAGCUUUUUUGCAUGUUUUUUUUUGCAUACGUUUAACGUUAUUUCUCACUGCUUCCCUUUUUCUGUUGCAAAAUAGUCCCAGAAGGAGAACCAACCAGCAGCAACCACUACCGUGAGCUCAUUGCCCAAAUAGUGUUUUAUUUCCCUAAAAAGCAUAUGUUUGUCGGGCCAUAUUGGUUUCAGUUUAGUUUCAGAAAUUCUACUUUAUUUUCUAAUGUUGCAUACUAAUUCAAUUUGUGAUAGUUUAUGUUGGAUGAAUACUUAGUUGCUAAACCGAAUCAAUCACUGCUUUGUCAUUGUGUAACAGGCGUAUAGUGUUAAAGGUGACUCCGUGCAUUACUUUAACAACCUCUCUCUCUUGAAUAGGUCGCACAAGUAUCUGAGCCGCCUGCAGCGCCCAAAGGAAUGUCUAUCCCACCGCCACCUCCUCCAGAGCCACCAAAAAUGGAUAUCAAGGCAGAACCAGCUGCUAAACCUGUCAAGGCCACACCAAGAGAAGAAGCAAAAGCUGUUGCCAAGCAACCCCAGUCCUCCAAAGGAAAAUCAGCAACUCUAAGCAAAUUUUUCCGUUCAAAGGUAAAUUAACAGCGAAGACAAGACAAGAUGGUGUAGGUGAUUCAUGGAGACUUUCAGUGAGUCCACGGAGAAAUCUGAUUAUAACAGAAAUAUAUGUGAAUAUGAGGUACUGCUACGUGACGAGACAUGUGAGGUCCAGGGUGCUUCAGCAUGUGGAGACAAUGCCCCCUCAAGUUGCCAGCAGUGGUACAGUGUCACAUUAUUAUAUUCUCAAAGUGGCCGUGGCUCAUCCUGUUACUUACUGAACAAGAGCUGGUUUGUCUGGAAGAGGCUGAAACAGGACAACUUGCUGUUUCCAUAUCGGAACCUGCAGCGAUCGUGUCAGCUGAUAUGCACAUAGUUUUGAACCAUAUCCAGGCCAAUCAGAUUUUUGUUCUUUGCAAGUCUUUCAAAAUGUUGACUUUGCAGCCAGUUCCUCGGUCAAACGGCCUCGCCUUAGUGCAGCUGUUUCUACCACAGACCAUUUUUCCAUAAUACUUUAUGUUCCCAACAUUUAAAUUGCAUUAGUGAAUUAAUCAGUAACAUUGUGUUUCGUUUUGGGACGUACAACUAUCUGGCUUACUUGCCAAGAGUUUAGACGAGGGGAUCAAUACCACCAUCGUUUCUGUAAGCUAAGUAUGGAGUUAGAAUCGGACAAUUGGCCGAGAACAAAGGCUCUUUGUGUGCUUUGGAAGGAGCAGUACUGUCUUCCAGUAUUUAUGCUGUGCUAAGUUACGGUCAUGAGAAAGGUUUUGACCUGCCAACUUUUGGUGAAGUAUAAUAUUUUCCACAAAAAUGUCACAUUAUUCCUUUAACCAAUUCUUAUUAGUUAGCGUCCAUUGUCAGGCUAACAUUCAAAUUACAACAUGCAAACAUUUCUUUUCCUUUUCGGUUCUGUUGGCUUUUUACUAACAAUAACAUUUCCCCCACCGUCCUGCAGACAAACAAGGAGUCCCCACCAAAGCCAGACAUUGAAGUAGACGUACAACAAGUUGUAGAAGUAGAGGUAAUCCAGAGAGCAUGCCCAAUCUUCUCAGAUGUAUUCAUGGCUUGCUAAUGUGUUUAAUGCACGAGUGCAGUGGUUCUUGUUUUGAAUCAUCUUAUAAUUGGUUACAUUUGCGGUCAGAAAAUUCGGCCAGAUUAAGUACAUUUCAGCAUGUUUCCUUGUCCAUUUUACUUUGCAUCUCAGAAUAAAAAAGUAGCUUUGUUCUGCAGGAGACACCAGUGGAAGCUCCUGAGCCAGUUGUUUUAGAAGUCAAGGUAAAUCGAAGGACAGUUGUUCAUUUGGGGCUUAAGUCUUUUAUGAGGGGUAGAUUAUGUGAUUAUCUUGGCAUCACCAUGUACUACACUGCAAAAAAAAAUUGCAUUCCAUGAAAUUGACAUAUUGUUGUUCAUCUGCAUUUGCUCAGAGUGAAAAUAAUGUUGACCCCCAUGACUCAGCAGAGCAGGUGGCCCAGCCUGUUGUACAAGAGCAGGUAAAUUUCUGUUGCAUUUCAUGCACCAUGCAAAAAAGGGAAAUAAAUAAUUCCCCUUUCGUGCAGAUGGUAGCAGAUGUACCACAGCCCGUGGUAGCGGCGGAGAUAAAUCAACAGUUUGGGAUCUUCUGCUUUCAUGCUUCCUUGUCGAGAGUUAGAUGAGAAGAACGCUCUCAUCUGCCUCUGUUAAAUUUGAGGCGUCAGCUAGUAGCAGAUUAGAUUAGAUUAGUUUAGUUUAGCACAGAGGCUUAAAUGUGCCUGUCUGUUAAACAGCAUUGCUCUGUCCGAUGCUGAAAAGAUUCACUUAUUGGCAGUUUUUAAGCUAUUUUUUGUUGGAUAAACAAAUUAAAUGGUUUAUUAGUGUUAAAGAGAAACAAAUGGUAACUUUUGCAUGGAGCCCAAAGAUGGUUUUAAGCUGUUUCAAUUCCUAAUGAAACUUCAAGUCAAAAGUCUCCUGCAUCAUACAGCAUAGGAAAGAUAUUAAAAACGGUCUUCUCAUCACUUGGCAAUAAAGCAAAUUCCCUCAUUUCCCUAUGGGUCAAUCAUUCAAGGGAGGAAUCUUCAGUGGAGACAUUCACUUUACUAUUUCCUUUUAUUUCUUCCCUUGCAAGCAGUAAUAUUAUAUACCUAUGUGCAUGAUUCUGCGGAUCUCUACACUUACAGAUUCUUUCACCUCCUUUCUGCUCUGACUCUGCCUGGAAUCUCUGCCCUUACCUCUUCGUUUUUUCACAGGUGGCAAAUGCUUCCCCGUACUCCGUCCGCCUCAAUGCUGGUCCUAACGCUUCCGUACCUCAUGUGUAUUUUCUUUUCUGCUGUUUUGAUAAAAGAAGGUGGAUUCUUCAAAAGCUGGCACUUUGGAGGCUGCAGCGAAACCAGAACCGCCGCCGCCUGUGCAGGAAGCACAGAAAACUGCCUCAACAUCCUCCUUCUUUUCUCUCUUCAAGCCUAAAGUCCUAUUAGACCACAUGACCACAAAAGUCCAGGCGGCCUCCACAAGUGGAGUUCGUCUCCUCGGGAGAACAACUGGAGUGGCCGCUGAUCCCAAAAAGGCGAGUCCUGCCCCGGCUGCAGCCCCAGAGACAGUGAAAGCCAAGGAGGAACCCAAAGCAGCAGCCAAGUUAUCCGAGGCCGUGGUAGAUAAUAAACCUGCUUCAGUGGCCUCCCAGGCCGCAGGUGAUGCAGCCAAGGCGCCAAAGAAACUGGAGAAGAGGAACUCCAUCCAUCAGUUCUUUAAAAUUCUGGGCCAGAAGCGUAACUCGACAGAUGCCGGGAUCCAGACAGAGACGCUCGCUGUCGCUCCGGUACCCGAGAAGGUCAAAUGAAACCAAAAGCGAGAGUGAAGUUUCCCUGUACAGACUCCUUCUCUUUUUCUUGCCCUUACUCGGUUUUCAUGUGCCUCAUCUGUCUCAUUAUUCUUUAAACUCUUAUAGAAUUGCUUUAACUACAUUUUGAUUUUGUUAUUGUUCAUAAGUUACAAUACGCACGGAAUAGUGAGCGGAAAGGCAAAGGCAAGUAGUGAGAAAGACACACAGCAGGUAGUUGCACAAGUGGUGAUUUGAAAUGGUCCAUGGUGAGGUUGUUGAGAUAUUUACAGUAUAUACAGUACAUAUUGUGUUUGGACCCUGUGCCUUGACAAGUAUAGCAAAAUCAGUGUGAAAUCUUUUCUACAGACAUUUAAUGUAACUUCUCUCUGUUCUUGCACAUGAAACAGAAGGUAAAAGGCAUCGCUUUUAGCUUUGUGUUUGUCAAAAAAAAACAUUUAAAAAAGGUUCUAUUUUUUACAGUUCACACAAAAGAAAAUCACGCAGCUGUGGCCGUGCAGAGGUUCCCACGAAAUUGCAUCGCACUUAAAUCCAUAUGUGAUAUAUUAACAUUAACAGCUCUGAAAAGAGCAAAUAAGAAGAGCAUCUUAGUGUAACAAGAAGCACUUAGCAGUCAAGUAUCUGUAUCGAGGGUGAUGGGGAACUGGCUAUAUGCGUAAAAAAAUGCAUCUGAGAGAUGUGUCUUUGUGCUACGUUUUUACUAAUGACUCACAGUUGAUUAGUUUUACAUUUGAACUUUGUCUCAUGUAACUCAGUGGAAGUCUUGUAGCGUCAGUCAGCAAUUAACAUCACGCUUUUGGUGGCCUUGCUUGAUGUAUGCAUGUGUGUGCGUGUGUGUAACUUCAGCUAUCCUGAAGACAAUAAACCUGUUUAUCAUUCGUUGUAUCUUCAUGUGUGUACGCGGCAACUGAGAAACCCCGUGAAGAAUAACCGGCUGUUGCAUUCGGCAUCUGCCAAAAUAUGCACCUCAGUAAGUUUGGCAAAAAAAAAUAAAAAAUCACACAUCAAAUCUUAUAAUAAAUAUUUUAAUUCACACUAAACUAAACUCAUAAGGCGUGACACAUGAGUCCUACCUUGGGCGUCGGUGGAAAUACUGCCAGCCUUACUCACCCAUGGGUUUAUUUUGUUGGCUGAAAAACAAGUGACGGUGAUGACGGGCAGGGCCGUACAAACCAAAACUCACCUCAGAGCCGCCCGCCGUCCGCCCGCCCGCCUGAUGGACGGAGAGCCGUCUGCGGUCCGUCACUACCAAAUAUUACAUUCAGAGACACCUUAGAGAUAAAAAGAUGUUAAACGAGAUCUAAGGAAUUGUUUCAGGUAAAGCAAAGCCUCCCAUACUCUAUUUUCAUUUAUGAGGUAAUUCCAAUGAUGGAGGAUGUGUUUUAAAUAGUAUUAUGUCAUGAGUCGCGGCCCCCUUAAAGGCAUAACUCACGCUGCACCUUUAUUAUCAACGAAACGCACUCUUUUUGCGUUACCCUCUGUGAUGGUUGUGAUCAUUUUAAAUUGUGCAUCAAAGUAAUUGACAUGGCACUUAAGGGGAAACAGUGAGGUAUUGCCUGCACAGUUUAAUCCAUGUGGUCAAGUCCUCUCCUCUGGGGAUUGUUAAGAGGAAUAUGUGACUCUUUGCCAACUGUAUUGCUGUACAGUGUGAAGUUCACCACUAACUACCAUUCUCCUAAAAUAAAACACUGGAC